UUUUUGAGGAGCUUUUGCUGUCCAUGAAAGACCCCUGGAGUAGGGAGACCCUCACUCAAGUCUCGGGAUGAUGGAACCCCCCAAGAACUCACGUGAGACC
rnacentral:pre_miRNA from 14 species